GGGGUGAACGGGGAGAGGGAGAGGUUAACGAGCUAGAGCUCGAGCAGGCGGCGGUACAGCAGCAGCGCCGGUAGUAGCGGAGGCACGACUCGAUCACACAGGCCCUCGAAGCGGCACCUGCUGAAGAAGAAGUAGUAGUUCACCUGGCUCAGCCCUGCGGCGUAGCGGCAACAGAAGUAGUAAGGAGGGGUUGACGUAGACGCCGGCGGCCGCGAGCUAGACGGUGGAAGUGACGCAGGGGUUGGAGUAGCAGGGGAAGAUACGUUGGCACUGGGGCUCUGACAACAGCUAUGGGGACACUAGCUGAUGUAGCUGCUGCUGGGGAGGAACGGUCUCGUUGGUCUACUACCUCAUGUCCUCGGUCUCCUAGGGUCCUACAAAGAUGUACCUCAAGCCGAAGCUCAUCAAUCCUCCAGGAUCCGUCCCCCGGAGCGGAAAAGCUAGCAACGAUGAAAACACGAUCGGAAUAAUUCCGUUUGAACAAAUUGAAUACAGACAUGAGUCUAUAACAACAAAGGCGACUGAGAACACAGAAGCUCGAAUACAUUAACUAGGGAGCUCCGGGGACCGAACAUUAUAUUUCGAACAUAUUAAAAUUAAACACAGAU
rnacentral:rRNA from 1 species